GAGAAGUGGGGACGCGAGGGGCAGAGAAUAAUCUUCCGCCGUCCAGCUGCGCCAAACGACACUUCAACAGAGUAGUUUGUGUGUGUGUGGAGUAGAGUUGCAUUUCUGUCUGUUGUAUAUUCUUUCGUGCAGCCGGUUUGGGGAUAUUGCGUGAUAAUGAUUUAUAAAGAUGUACUGAAAUGACACCAACUUUUUUAUACGAACUAGGAACUGAUUGGCGUUUAAAAUUCAGCGUCGGAUUCAUGUUCGUUCACUUUUGAUCUACGAAAGAUCCCCAAAAUUGUACGAUAAUGUUGAUAUAAAAUGCAUGUUGAUUUGAUUUCUGGUCUUUAGCAUCUAAUG